UACGGGGGAUGCAAGCGUUAUCCGGAAUCAUUGGGCGUAAAGCGCCUGUAGGUUGUUUAAUAAGUCUGUUGUUAAAGACUAGGGCUUAACCCUAGGAAAGCAAUGGAAACUAUUAGACUAGAGUAUGGCAGGGGUAGAGGGAAUUUCUAGUGUAGCGGUGAAAUGCGUAGAUAUUAGAAAGAACACCAGCGGCGAAAGCGCUCUACUGGACCAUUACUGACACUCAGAGGCGAAAGCUAGGGUAGCAAAAGGGAUUAGAUACCCCUGUAGUCCUAGCCGUAAACGAUGGAUACUAGAUGUUGCGCUUCAAGUGCAGUAUCCUAGCUAACGCGUUAAGUAUCCCGCCUGGGGAGUACGCUCGCAAGGGUG
rnacentral:rRNA from 1 species